AUGUCACUACAGGUCAUUUUAGAACAGGUUGAGUGUUAUACUACUAAUGGAACUACAGGUCAGUUUAUAACAGGUUGAGUGUUAUACUACUAAUGGAACUACAGGUCAGUUUAUAACAGGUUGAGUGUUAUACUACUAAUGUAACUACAGGUCAGUUUAGAACAGGUUGAGUGUUAUACUACUAAUGUAACUACAGGUCAGUUUAUAACAGGUUGAGUGUUAUACUACUAAUGUAACUACAGGUCAGUUUAUAACAGGUUGAGUGUUAUACUACUAAUGGAACUACAGGUCAGUUUAGAACAGGUUGAGUGUUAUACUACUAAUGGAACUACAGGUCAGUUUAUAACAGGUUGAGUGUUAUACUACUAAUGGAACUACAGGUCAGUUUAUAACAGGUUGAGUGUUAUACUACUAAUGUAACUACAGGUCAGUUUAUAACAGGUUGAGUGUUAUACUACUAAUGGAACUACAGGUCAGUUUAGAACAGGUUGAGUGUUAUACUACUAAUGUAACUACAGGUCAGUUUAUAACAGGUUGAGUGUUAUACUACUAAUGUAACUACAGGUCAGUUUAUAACAGGUUGAGUGUUAUACUACUAAUGGAACUACAGGUCAGUUUAUAACAGGUUGAGUGUUAUACUACUAAUGUAACUACAGGUCAGUUUAGAACAGGUUGAGUGUUAUACUACUGGUUCUCAGUCCAAAUGUCGGUAGGUCUGCAGGACAACAGCUCUCUCAGGCCAGAGC